UACAGAGGUCUCAAGCGUUGUUCGGAUUCAUUGGGCGUAAAGGGUGCGUAGGCGGCGCGGUAAGUCGGGUGUGAAAUCUCGGGGCUUAACUCCGAAACUGCAUUCGAUACUGCCGUGCUUGAGGACUGGAGAGGAGACUGGAAUUUACGGUGUAGCGGUGAAAUGCGUAGAUAUCAGGAGGAACACCGGUGGCGAAGGCGGCUACCUGGACAGAAACUGACGCUGAGGCGCGAAAGCUAGGGGAGCAAACAGG
rnacentral:rRNA from 1 species